AAGGGUGAAGAUGAUCAGAUGGUGUCCUUCAUACUCACCGGGUUAGAUUCUGAUUACAACCCAAUUGUCACCUCAGUUAUGGGUCGGAUUGAUCCAAUUCUCCUUAGUGAACUCUAUGCACAAGUAAUGGCA
rnacentral:snoRNA from 1 species